GAUGAACGCUGGCGGCGUGCCUAAUACAUGCAAGUCGAGCGAAUGGAUUAAGAGCUUGCUCUUAUGAAGUUAGCGGCGGACGGGUGAGUAACACGUGGGUAACCUGCCCAUAAGACUGGGAUAACUCCGGGAAACCGGGGCUAAUACCGGAUAACAUUUUGAACCGCAUGGUUCGAAAUUGAAAGGCGGCUUCGGCUGUCACUUAUGGAUGGACCUGCGUCGCAUUAGCUAGUUGGUGAGGUAACGGCUCACCAAGGCAACGAUGCGUAGCCGACCUGAGAGGGUGAUCGGCCACACUGGGACUGAGACACGGCCCAGACUCCUACGGGAGGCAGCAGUAGGGAAUCUUCCGCAAUGGACGAAAGUCUGACGGAGCAACGCCGCGUGAGUGAUGAAGGCUUUCGGGUCGUAAAACUCUGUUGUUAGGGAAGAACAAGUGCUAGUUCAAUAAGCUGACACCUUGACGGUACCUAACCAGAAAGCCACGGCUAACUACGUGCCAGCCGCCGCAGUAA
rnacentral:rRNA from 1 species